AUGGAGCUCCUUGUGCUCCUUGCCCUUGUUUUCUUGGGCUUAUCCGUACUGAUCCGGCGGCGUGGCUGCCACACUGGUGUUAGGCGUGCCGGCGCCCUAGCUCCAGCUGCAUUGGUUAUCCAGAACAUCGUCGACCCUGCCGCUGCCCAGUGCAUGCUCGUCGAGAACGCCGACCACUUCUCGAACCGCCCAGCUCCGCCCUUCCUGGUGGCGCUGGAAAAGAGCAACGGCGGCCAACGAGGCGACGGCCUAACCUCUGUGCCCUAUGGCCCGCUCUGGAGUGCUCUCCGACGCAACCUGAUGGCUGAGGCGCUUCAUCCGUCCCGCCUCGGGCACAUCGCCCCGCUGCAGCGGGAAGCCACCCAGGGCCUUAUUGCGGCACUCGGGAAGGAACUACCGGUGGUGUCCGUCCGCGAGCACCUCUCUGCCGCCGUCUUCUCGGUCGUCGCGCACCUGUGUUUCGGCGACGACAUCGAUGAGGGCUAUCUACGCGCCAUGCGCUGCGGGAUACGAGACAUCCAGCUCAUCGCUGUUGUGGAGGCCAAACCGUCGUCUGGCUCCAUGUUGGCCAAGCUCACGGGGUGGAGAGUGCUGCGCCAGCUCUUGGCCUUACACGCUCGGAUGGGCGAGAUAUUCCUCCGUCUUGUCGCCGCACGGCGGGAGUCCCGACGUCCAUGCGACGGGGGCAGCCGUCGUCCAUACGUCGACUCUCUCAUCGACCUACGCGCCCCCGAUGGUGACGGUGGCCGCCGUGCUGUUAGGGAUGACGAGUUGGUGCUCCUCGUGCUGGAGUUCCUGGGCGCCGGCGCUGGGACGGUCGCAGCAUGCCUGGAAUGGACCCUCGCCCACGUUGUAAACGACCAGGAGGUCCAGGAAAAGCUGAGUGACGAGGUCCAAAGCGCUGGCGGCACUGUGGUCUCCAGCUCCAGAAGCCUCAUCCAUGGCAUGCCGUAUCUGAACGCUGUGGUGCUCGAGAGCCUCCGCAUGCACCCAACGGUGCCCUUCAUCCAGCGCCACGUCCAUUCCGACGCCGCCGGGUUUCUCGGAGUCGGAGGAACAACCAGCGACUUGCUCAUGCAGGUCUCCGUGGGAGCCAUCGGGCGGUACACCAAGACAUGGACGGAUCCCGACGAGUUCCGACCUGAGCGGUUCCUGCCGGGCGGCGAGGCAGAGGAUGUGGGGCCUUUGCCGGGUCCCAAGGAGAUCAGGAUGAUGCCGUUCGGCACCGGGCAUAGGUUCUGCCCUGGCGUGGGUCUGGCCAUGAUGAACAUCAAGUGUUUCUUGGCUGCGCUCGUGCACGAGUUCCACUGGAAGCCACCCACGGUGGGUUGUGCUGGCGUCGACGUGACUGAGCUCAACACCUUCGUCAAGGGGAUGAAGACGCCGCUUUCCGUGCGUCUCACGCGACGCACUUUAUCCUCUUGA
rnacentral:rRNA from 1 species